rnacentral:rRNA from 1 species
GAUGAACGCUGGCGGCGUGCCUAAUACAUGCAAGUCGAGCGAACGGACGAGAAGCUUGCUUCUCUGAUGUUAGCGGCGGACGGGUGAGUAACACGUGGAUAACCUACCUAUAAGACUGGGAUAACUUCGGGAAACCGGAGCUAAUACCGGAUAAUAUUUUGAACCGCAUGGUUCAAAAGUGAAAGACGGUCUUGCUGUCACUUAUAGAUGGAUCCGCGCUGCAUUAGCUAGUUGGUAAGGUAACGGCUUACCAAGGCAACGAUGCAUAGCCGACCUGAGAGGGUGAUCGGCCACACUGGAACUGAAAACCGGUCCAGACUCCUAUGGGAGGCAGCAGUAGGGAAUCUUCCGCAAAGGGCGAAAGCCUGACGGAGCAACGCCGCGUGAGUGAUGAAGGCCUUCGGAUCGUAAAACUCUGUUAAUAGGGAAGAACAUAUGUGUAAGUAACUGUGCACAUCUUGAAGGUACCUAAUCAGAAAGGCACGGCUAACUACGUG